UAUUUUUGGAGAGGAAUUCUAACAUUGCUUUGUCCACAUCUCAAUCUGCUAUUGUGGAAGAGAUGGUUCUUUUAUGGAUCCCCUGAAUGAAGCCAAGGAGGAAGAACUUCUGCUCUCUUUCACCAAUUUCAGCCACAGUUGGAAGAUUUUCAAGACUACUAAAUGAAGCAUUCGAUUUGAGGUUAUGGAAAUGUAGGUGUCUUAAGACUGUAGGUGCCUACAGACAGCAAGUGUCCAAAUUCCUGACACAGUAAGCAGAGACUUGGUUUCAAUUCAACUUCCUCCAAAACCACCCAGUGACAUUUGAUACAAACUUGCAUAUCAUGCAUGGUUUCCCCCUGCCACUGCAGCAGAGACUCUCACUGGUCCUACAUCCAAUUUGUCUAGCCCACAUGGUGAGCAAGUGCCUCUCUAACAGUGCUGGACUCCUGACCACAAAAUGAUGCUCUGAGGCAAUUCA